AAUGAACGCUGGCGGCGUGCUUAACACAUGCAAGUCGAACGAGAAAGCCCUUCGGGGUGAGUAAAGUGGCGAACGGGUGAGUAACGCGUGAGAAUCUACCCUUUAGUGGAGAAUACCCCCGAGAAAUCGGGGUUAAUACUGCAUAAGUCUUGAAAGAGAGAAAGGUGGCCUCUAGCUACCGCUGAAGGAUGAGCUUGCGUGCUAUUAGCUAGUUGGUGAGGUAAAGGCUCACCAAGGCAGAGAUGGCUAACCGGCCUGAGAGGGUGGACGGUCACAUUGGGACUGAGAUACGGCCCAGACUCCUACGGGAGGCA
rnacentral:rRNA from 1 species